GGAAGCAUAGCUCAGCUGGGAGAGCACCUGCCUUACAAGCAGGGGGUCACAGGU
rnacentral:tRNA from 1 species